AUUGAACGCUGGCGGCAGGCCUAACACAUGCAAGUCGAGCGGAGCGGCGGACGGGCGAGUAAUGCCUAGGAAUCUGCCUGGUAGUGGGGGAUAACGUCAGGAAACGGGCGCUAAUACCGCAUACUAUCAGAUGAGCCGAGGUCGGAUUAGCUAGGUGGUGGGGUAAAGGCCUACCAAGGCGACGAUCCGGCACUGGUCUGAGAGGAUGAGCAGUCACACUGGAACUGUGACACGGUCCAUACUCCUACGGGAGGCAGAAGUGGGGAAUAGUGGACAAUGGGCGAAAGCCUGAUCCAGCCAUGCCGCGUGUGUGAAGAAGGUCUUCGGAUUGUAAAGCACUUUAAGUUGGGAGGCGUUACCAACAGAAUAAGCACCGGCUAACUUCGUGCCAGCAGCCGCGGUAAUAC
rnacentral:rRNA from 1 species